UAGGGAAUCUUCCACAAUGGACGCAAGUCUGAUGGAGCAACGCCGCGUGAGUGAAGAAGGUCUUCGGAUCGUAAAGCUCUGUUGUUGGUGAAGAAGGAUAGAGGCAGUAAAUGGUCUUUAUUUGACGGUAAUCAACCAGAAAGUCACGGCUAACUACGUGCCGGCAGCCGCGGUAAUACGUAGGUGGCAAGCGUUGUCCGGAUUUAUUGGGCGUAAAGCGAGCGCAGGCGGAAUGAUAAGUCUGAUGUGAAAGCCCACGGCUCAACCGUGGAACUGCAUCGGAAACUG
rnacentral:rRNA from 1 species